AUGGAAUCCCGACCGAAAGCCGCGAGCACAUCAGCCCGGGCCAGAACAGGUUUCCUUGGAGACGAUAGCUGGAUCAAAAGGGCUGAUGAUGAGGAUGAAGAUAAUGACACCACCACUACUGUCUCCAAAGAUGGCAGAACUACCACCACCACUGAGACGACCACUAUUAGGUCAGGUGUGAAACAGUCGAGCAGGACUGAGACGUUCACCCAGCGGGUCCUGUCCUCCAGCAAAGAGCCACAGUACUCAUCCUAUACACCUAAAACAACUGAAGUCGCCAGGAGAUCUGUCACCAGCACCAAAGAUGCAGAGGACCAUCUGUUUGACACCCUCGUCCAAUCGCCCACCAGGAAUAAUUACUCACCCACAGACAGUGAAACAUCUGUGAUCACAUCUGAGACGGUGACUUUAAAACCCAGUGGAGACGCACAUGCUGAGGAUCAACUCUAUGACCGACUUAUUCUAAAAUCGAUCAAAGAUGAAGACUCUAGUGGAAGGAAAUCUGUGUCCAGUGUUGAGACUGUGUCAGUGAGAAGCACCUCCAUUGGGGCUGAUGAUGAUUUUGACUCCUAUCGAACCAAAUCUCUUUCAUCAGAUCGAUCAUCUUCCCUCACCAGAGGAGAAAGUUCAACGAUGAGUUCAAAGACUUCCAUCCACAACUACAGCUCUUACACUGAAGAGUCUCCUGUCACCACCACCACCACCUACACCAUCAGCAGCAGCAAGUCCAGUGACGACUACAACAGUAACCUCAAAAACUGCUCCUACUCCUCCAGACCAAAUGCCAGGUAUAGGACGACGUGCACGACGGCUGGCAGCUUUGCUUGCCAGCCGAUUAUUUUGUUCUUCACCUGUUUCUGCUGCACGGCGUGUUGCCUCACGUGCAGCGUUGCUCGCCAGGCGGGCAUUUCGGACUUCAGGUGACCUGGCGCAUUUCCUCACAAUUCCGCUCUGUUUCUGCACGUCAAUUUUUUGGCAUGAUACAACCAAAAGUGAUUUGUAGAAUAGUAAUGGUAGUAAUAGUAGUGCGUGCCGCUCAGACGCUCCUCCCACCUCGCAUGUCCCCUUCGGUUUAACCCGCAUUUAGUUUAAAAUAAAAAUUUUGAAAAGUAAUCA
rnacentral:lncRNA from 1 species